rnacentral:lncRNA from 10 species
GUCAUCGUGAGCAUAUGCAACAUCCUCGUCAGCACUUCUGGUGCCAGAUUCAAAGGUAUGCGUACUUCCUUUGACCUGCUACUCUUCCAUCCUUUUCUCAGUAACGCAGGGUAGGUCAUGGAAAGCUAACUGCCACCAAGUUGAGAAGCAGCAUGAACCCUAACAAAUAACACUACUUAACACUGUCAAUUCUAUAUGCUGGUCUCUAGAUAUGGCUAUGAAAAUAGAUUGUUUGAAAAUAUAUAUGCGUGUGUAUGUGUGUGUAUAUGUAUAUCAUUUACUAUCUGUCAGAAUUAAGCCAUUAUACCUCUAGUUUCCAGUAAGUCAAGAUAGCUUCCUCUUCAAAUAAACAGCAUGCCUUUGUCAGCAUGCAGUUUAUGUGCAUUUAAUUUGCCAAGCAGGUCUUACUAAAACAGUCAAAUCCAAAUGACCUUUGCAUGACUGAAACACUUGUAGUAUUAGGUAGAAAAACUAUAUAAUAGGGGAAAUAACACCCUGGAGUCAAAAGGCUUGUGGUCUAGUCCUGACUCUGCCAGCAGACAGUUGACCUUGAGCAAGUCAUUUACGUUGUCUGUUUCUUUAUCUGCAAGACGGGAAUAACAAUCCUCCCCCAGUCUCCCUCACUGCUGCUGUGAACGUAAUUAUAUUAACAGCACUUAAGAAGUAGACAACUGUCAUGACGAAAAGAAGUGAUGAAUUCAUUACAUAUUUUUUAAAAAACAAAACUUCAGUCUCAGGCUAGCUUCUAUGCAUUUUAUUAGAAACAUACAAUAAUUUUACUGGAUUUGAAUGUUUAAGUUGUCACCCAGGUUGGAAGUGACAUAAGAAGAUAAACAGUAAUAGUAAGUAGAUGGGCAGAAUUCAAUAGUAAAGGGCUAUAUAAAUAUACUUCAAAAAAAGCAAUUAUAGGCCGGGUGCAGUGGCUCACGCCUGUAAUCCCAGCACUUUGGGAGGCUGAGGUGGGCGGAUCACGAGGUCAAGAGAUUGAGACCAUCCUAGCCAACAUGGCGAAACCCCAUCUAAAAAUACAACAAUUAGCUGGGCAUGGUGGUGCGUGCCUGUAGUCCCAGCUACUCAGGAGGGUGAGGCAGGAGAAUUGCUUGAACCCAGGAGGCGGAGGUUGCAGUGAGCCGAGAUCGCGCCCGGUGACAGAAUGAGAACCCCCCCAGCGCCAAAGAAAAAAAAAGGCAAUUAUAUAGGAGAAAUAUCAAAAUAAUACUUUAUUGAGAGAAAGAAAAUUUGAAGUAACAUAAAUAAUCAGUACCCAGCAUUUUCUCAUAGAAUUUCCACAGGUCUCCAGCAUUGCUUUCUGCAGUAUUUUACUCAUUGGACAUUCUUCAGCUAUAUAAAUAAGCAUUGUGAACGAGCCUGGGAUUCAACUACAGUUAUAAUGUUGUAUCUACUAGAAAUCCUGAGUGCUCAAACCCCAAUGUAGCAGGGUACUUUAGGCAAACAUCGUUUUAGUCCCUUCACCAUCCUUGUACACUGAGACACGUGGCUGAAAAUAUUUACGCCCUCCUUACCGUGUGUAAAAACAAAAUGAAAAGAUUCUUUCUUGGCCUUUGACUCUCAGAAGGAAGAACAAACUGGGGUGGCUUCGAGUGAACAGUCUUGAGAUUAAAUGUGGAAAUAAUUAUAGCACUUGAAGAUGGCAGAAGGUGGCAUUCAAGAUGACAGUGUAACUCCAUCUAAUAGCAACCAUUUGUUGAACAGCUCCUAUGUCCGUAGUACCUAUGCCUUGCCCUUGCAACUACUACCUGAUAUAAUGUCACACUUAACCAGAGAAAAAGUAGGCAGACUUGAGAGAUUCCUAAUGGACUUAAUCAUUUUGUCCAAGAGAAUGAGAGAUGCACAUAAUAUUAGAAUUUGAAGAUUUUGUCAAGUUCUGCCACCAAUCCUAUUAACAAAACCACCCCCCUACAAAAUAUUCUGAAGGAGAGGAAUAAGUAAGGCAACUAAGUACUUGACAAGUAUCAAACACUUAAAAGGGCGAGGCGCAGCAGCUCAUGUCUGUAAUCCCAGCACUUUGGGAGGCUAAGGCUGGAGGAUCAUGAGGUCAGGAGUUCGAGAUCAGCCUGACCAACACUGUGAAACCCUGUCUCUACUAAAAAUACAAAAAUUAGCUAUGUGCCUGUAAUCCCAGCUACUCAGGAGGCUGAGGCAGGAGAAUCGCUUGAACUUGGGAGGUGGAGAUUGCAAUCAGCCAAGAUGGUGCCAUUGCACUCUGGCCUGAGCAACAGAGUGAGACUCCAACUCAAAAAAACAAAACAAAACAAAACAAAACACUUAAAAGGUACCUAACUUCAGAGACAUCACUUAAUAUGUGUCCUAAUUUUACAAAUGAAGACAUUGAAGCUUAGAGGUAGGAAGCAUAAUGGGGUUAAGACACAUAGUCAUGUGGCAGAACUGGAAUGUGAACCCACAUUUGACCUCCUCUCUUAGGUAAUCAAUAAUAUCCAAUAAUCAAUAAGUAAUAGUGUUUGUUAUUUCUGAGGCCCAUGUGUAGCUUCAGACUUUUAAUUUAAAUUUUCUCAUUCAAUUUUUUUUUUUUUUGAGACAGGGUCUUGCUCUGUCUCCCAGGUUGGGGUCAAGUGGUGUGAUCAUGGCUCACUGCAGCCUCAAACUCCUAGGCUCAAGCCUUGAUCUUCCCACCUCAGCCUCCAGAGUAGCCGGGACCAGAGGUGAGUGCCACUAUACCUGGCUAAAUUUUAGGAAAUAUUUUUUGUAGAAAUGAGGUCUCACUACGUUGCCCAGGCUGGUCUCAAAUUCCUGGCCUCAAGCAAUCCUCCCACCUCAGCCUCCCAAGGUGCUGGGAUUACACACAUGAGCCACUGUGCCUGGCCCACACUCAAACUUUUUAAGAUGACAGCACAGUACCUUUCACAAGGAUAUCAUAUAUUGAAUUACUGAGCUGUGGUUCAAAAGUUUGUUCAUGGUUUACCGUACAGACAUUAACCACUGCUCAAUCAUUUCUAAAAACAUAUAUAAAGUUGAUGCCAAUUCACAAUCACCAGAAUUUAUUUUUAAUUGUCAUACUAAUUUGGUGAUCAGACCCUCUUCUAUGUCAGAAACAAAGGGCAUAUAUGUGAGUUGACUGCAGCCUUCUGACAAGGAGCAAUUUUCUUCUAAGUAAGUUACAACUAAAUUCCCAGCCUUGGUCUGUACACCCAUGAUCUAACAACUUUUUUUGCCUUUCUCAACAGUGGCCAAGAAAAUAUAUGCAAUUCAUAGUAAUUCAUGAUUUGGGAUUUUAUUUCUAUGUAAAAUGGGAUAAUUUUUAAGGACCCUGAAGUCCUUUAAAUCACAAAUCACUUUAGGGUAGCAGUCUAUUCCUGCCAGAAUUCGUUUACUGGAAUUACAAAGUAAAUAACCGUGAAAAGAAGAUGGAGGUGAAAAUCAAGGUUGUAGAGAAUUUGAGAGGGAAACAGAAAGGGAAUCAUACUGCUUGCUUUUAAAAAAAAAAUGCACCAAAGCUUUCUUCAUUCAAGCAGUUGGUUUUGUUCCCUAACUGGUCCCCCACAUAUCUAAGUGCAAUGAGUACAUUCCCAACUCCUACUGCCAAGUUAAAAUGAAAACGUUCUCAGUCUAGAAAUGAUUGAGGUGGUUUUCUUUAAUCAAAUUAGAGCAGCCAAAUGUUCCUUUCAAAGGUAACUGUCUACUCUGCAGCUGUAUGCAAACUACCACAUCAAAUGUGAGGGAAAAAAUAGCGAUAGAAUUGUGUCCUUACAGUACAGAGCUAGCUGCAGAGAUGGAGAAACAAAAGCAUUUGUACAGUUAAGAAUUACAUUCACAGUGAGCUUCCAGAAAUAUGCUGACUUCACAAACUGUGAACAAUGUAUUGAAACUUCCAGUACAUAAUUAGCUAUUUUGGGGAGGGGAGGAACAUGGGGGGAAAUGCCCCCUUAAAAACGGCUAAGCAGCAAUAGAUACCUUGAGUCAUUUACCCUCCCAACCAAAGUUUCUCAAUGAGAAACAUUAAAAGACUGGCUGAGACUUCAUAGGAAAAAAAAGUCUCAUAGACCUUGCUUUUUCACUUCCUGUCUCCAUCAAAAACACACCACAGUGAGUAAACUUGAGUAUCCCGCAAGCUUCAAUUAAGCUUGUAAUGAUUCAUUUGCAUGCAGAAUUUAUUCUUUUAAAUAAUCAGACAUGGGAAUUUCCUGCAAAGAAUUAAUUCAUAGUGGGCUUAUUUUUUCAGUUUGUUUCCCUUAAGAAAAAUCAAUUGGCUAACAUUCCCAAUAUGAUGUCAAAUUAGCUUUUCUAUGUUACAAUUUAUAUCAGCUGUUGGUUUCAGGGAUGGUAUAUCAACAGUAUGAAAACCUAGAAGAUGACAAUGAAUUUAUAUAGCCAGGUGCAAUCAGCAACAGAAGAAUGAAACAAUGUUCUUUCUUCAAUUAUGGAUCCUCUCCAGAUGGUUAUACUGUCCUCUAAAUUAAGGAAUGUGGAAUAAAUAGGGGAAAAGUAUAUCUCAUGUGAUCCCAAUAUUUCUCCAGAGCAGCUGUUCUUAAACUUUUUUGCUUCUGGUGAAAUUAGCAGACAACUUCCUUGGUUCACAUGCCCUUUGACAUUACCCAAAUUUAAGAACUGCUGCAUAACAAAAACUUCCCGCAGGUAAUAAGCAAUUCUUGGGCUGCAGCCCUUCUGCUCCCAACCAGGAAAGCAAACUGAAUUGCAAAAAAAAAAAAAAAAAAAAGACAUUUUGAUUAUUCAAAAAUUUAUUUUAAGAAGUGUAAUCAGACUUCCAGUUCAAAAUGGUGGACCUAUCACAAAUAUUUGCCUCCAUUCUUUCUCAGUAAAAGAAAUAAACCCAUAAUUACAAAAGGGCGUCCCACAUACACAAAAAGGAGAGAAUUUAGUAAAUUUGCUGGGUGACUGAAAAUAAACAGAAAUAAGGUGAUGGAAGAAGUCACCAAAGAGAUAGUAGUCUCCAAAGUGAAGAACAUAUAAUCAGGAGAUGUAUUAAGAAAAUAUCUUCUAUUUUUAGGUAUUUUGUACCCCUUCAUUUCAAAAUCAUUAUUUUUAUUAAAUAUAUAAUAAUAUAUCUGUAUAUGUACAUAAUUUUUAUAAUUCAGUGAAUAUCAGUGACAUGCUCAAAUAUUUUUACUAGAAGGGAGGCCACUGCCCUAGAACAAGCCAUGAGGGCACCGUGGAGGAAGCAGAAGCUGGACUACGAGUCAACAGGUGCAAUGGAAAAAGGGAGGAAGAAGGGCAGCCAUUUUCUUCCCACAUUCAGGGGAGUCAACUAAAUGUCUGUAUAUAGGGUAACUGCACCAGUUAGCAUUCCUAUUGCCAUCCCUGUACCUAAGAUCUUGGAGUAAACCAUUUCUUAUUGUGACAUUUGAGAGUUUUUCCACAUCCUGACAGCCAUUUUUCCAGCCACCCAAAAGUAAAGCCUGUGAAGCAUACUCCCAUCCCAAGAUUCCUAUGCCAAACAAGUCUCCCAAAAAUUUUACUCAGAAAUGAGAGCCAGCAGGGAGGAAAAGAUCCUAUUUAAUAGUCUUACUAGCUAACCAGUCUUUAUAAAAACUAAUGGACAUACAAGGCAGUAAGGGAGCAAGAAGGUCCAGACUUCUUACCUGCCAGAAACAACUAGAAACUAGAUAAACAUAUGAAACAACUGCUUUCAGAUAUUGGACUAUAGGUAGUAGAGGACUGUGAUCCCUGAGAGAGGGGAAGCAAAUGAGGUGAGCCCUAGAUUGCCCUAGCUUUCUGUUUGGAGGCAAUUUCCAGACCACAGGUACAGGAAGGAGGAACCUCAGAGUUCUGUAAAUUCUGUAGUCUUGCCCAGCUGGGUAGGCAGAGAUCAGAGUUGAGAAGACAAGGAGGCCAAAGUGGCUAAAAUUUGGAAGACACAAUACUGAAGAAGAGCUCCAGAAAUCUACAUGGGGUCUAUUGAGUCCCUGGCUGAAUAUUAAGCUACACAUGUGGAACUGCAUGAAGUCAAGAAAGGUCAGCUUCUGAGAAAAGAUCACCAAGGAGUUGUAAGAUGAAUGAUUCCAGAGCUCACAGAGGGCAGAAAAUGUUUCAAACUCCUUACCAGCCAAAGAAGAGAGACUACAAAAGAGUAAUGUCUUAGUAGGGCUAAACUAGCCUGGAAGCAAAGCCUACAUACACUAGAUCCUCUCCCCAACAACAAAAGAGACAAACUAAAAAUAAGCCUUGGAAGUAUAAAACUGAACCACACAUAACUUUACUGCCUGCCAGAACAAAAUCCAAUUCUCUUUAAAGGAGUAGAACAAAAUCCAGCAGUUGACAAUGUCAUAGUCACAAUGUUUGGCAUCCAAUAACACAUUAUUAGACAUGCAGCCAUACAGAACAUGACCCAUAAGCAGGAGAAAAAUCAGUCAAUAGAAAUAGACUCAGAAAUGACAGAACUUAUGGAAUAGCAGACAAAGAAAUUAAAUAAACUAUUAUAAACACUACAAAAAUGCCCAAGGCCUUAAAGGAAAACAUGGACACAGUGAGGAGAAAAUUGGAAAUAUAUAAAUAAAAAAUCAAAUGGAACAAGUACCAAGAUAAGCUAUAUGUUGGACCAAAGCAAGUGUUACUAUCUUUAAAAAGUAUUAGAAUCAUACAGAAUUGUUCUCUGAUCACAACAGAAUUAGACAGAAAGAAAUUAGAAAAAUCCCUUACAUGUUUGGAAAUUUAAGAAUCCAUGGAUUAAAGAAUAUAUAACUAAAAAUGGCUUAAAAUAACCCAAAUUGAAUGAAAAUUAAGCCACAACAUAUUCAAAUUUGUGGGAAGAUGCAUAUAUUUGAAGAUCCAAGCUUCUAUUUUAAGAAGCUAAAACUAAGAACAAAUUAAACCCAAUGUAAGUAGGAAAAGAAGAUAAAAACAAAAUAAGUAUCAAGAGACCACAGACAAACAGAAGUGAAAAUUAAUGAAACAAAAAACUGGAUUAUCAUCAAUAAAACUGACAAAACUCUAUCUGUAUGUCAAGAUAAAAAGAGGAAAAUGCAAAUUACCAAUAUCAGGAAUAAAAGAGUGGACAUCACUACAUAUUCUACAGACAUUAAAAAAGAUAAGGAGUUAAAGAAUCUAUACCAAUAAACUACCACCCCCCCAAAAAAACCCUAGGAUAGACAAAUCCCUUGAAAAAUACAAAAUUAUAAAAGGUGAUCUAACCUAUAAGGUCUCAUAUCUAUUAAGAAAAUAUAAUUUGUAGUUAAUAACCUACUCAAAAAUAAAUGCUAGGCCCAGAUGACUUCAUUAGUAAAUUCUGUUAAAUGUUUAAGAAAGAAAGAAUGCCAAUCCUACACAAAAUCUUUCAGAAAAUAGAAGAGGAAGAAACACUUCUCAACUCGUUUUAUGAAGCCAGCAUUACCUCAGAACAAAAAUCAGAGUUAUUAUAAAAAAAAUUAUAGGCCAAUAUCAUUCAUGAAUAUUCUUAACAAAAUUUUAGCAAUAUAUAAAAAGGCUACAUCAUGACCAAGUAGGGUUUAUCCCAGGAAUGUGAGCUUGGUUUAACUUUCAAAAUUCAAUCAGUAUAAUUCACAGCACAAUAACAGAGUUUUUAAAAAAAUAAUCAAUUCAAUUCUUCAGAAAAAACACUGACAAAAUUCAGUACCCAAUCAUGAAAAACUCUCUAAGCAAACUAGGAAUAUAAGGGAACUUCAUCAAUCUGAUAAAGGACACCUAGGAAAACUUACAGCUAACAUCAUACUUUAGGGCAAAAGUCUGAAUAGUUUUCUCCUUAUUAUUGGGAACAAGCCAAAAACAUCUGCUCUCACCACUUUUAUUUGACAUUUUUCUAGAGGUUCUAGCCAGGGCAAAAAAAGAAAGGAAAAGAAAUAAAAGACAUAUAUAUAUAUAGGGGGGAAAGUACAACUGUCUAUUCUCAGAUGAUGUGUCUGUGUAUGUAAAAAAACUAAAAUUUACAAAGAAGCUACCAGACUAAUAAGGGAGUUUUUCAGAUCACAAGACACAAGGUCACUAUACAAAAAAGACUAUAGCUCUCAAUGACAAACACUUAAAAAGAAAAAACAAUGCCUUUUACAAUAACAUCCAAAAACAUUAAAUGCAAAGAGAUAAAUUUAAUAAAAUGCAAGCAAGGGCAUUACACUAAAAGCUACAAAACUCUGAUGAGAGAAAUUAAAGACCUAAAUAAAUGAAGAGAUACACCAUGUUCGUGAUCAGAAGUCAGUGUCAAUAUCUAUGCCUUCGCCCUAAUUAAUAGAGAUUAAAUGCUAUCCCAAUAGGAGAAUUUUUGUGUUAACUAACAAGCUGACUCUAAAAUUUAUAUGAAAAUACAAAAGAAGAGCAACAACAAUUUUGAAAAACAAGAACAAAGCUGGAAAAUGUAUACUACCUGAUUAAGACCUAUACAUUAUAGUAAUCAAAGUAUGACAUUGGCAAAAGGAUAGAUAUAUAGAUCAAUGCAAAAGAACAAAGAGUCUAAAAACAGGCCCAAAUGUAUAUGCUCAACUAAUGUUUAGCAAAGCUGCCAAGGUAAUUCAAAAUGAAGAAAGCAAAGUAUUUUCAAUAAAUGGUGCGGAAAUAGCUGGAUAUCCAUACAGGAAAAAUGAACCUGAACUCUUAGCUCAAGCCAAACACAAAGACUUGACUUGAAUGCAUCACAAAUCUAAAAUAAAAGCAAAAACUAUAAAAUUCUAGAAGAAAACAUAGGAAAAAUCCUAUAUGCCCUGGAGGUAAACAAAUAUUUAUUAGAUAGGAUACAAAAAAGCAUAAGCUAUCAAAGAAAAAAAAAGAUGAAUUGGACUUAGGUUAAAUUAAAAUAUUCUGUUUGACAUAAAGCAUUAAGGAAAUGAAAAGGUAAGCCAAAGACCUGAAGAAAAUAUUUGUAAUCCAUGUAGCUGACAAAAGACUGCUCAAGAACUCUUACAAUACAAUAAGAUAACUCAAUUUUAAAAAACGGUCAAUUUGAACAGAAACUUCCCAACAGAAGGUAUCAGAAUGGUCAAUAGCCAAAUGAAAAGAUAUUCAACAACAUUAGUCAUCAAGUAAAUGCAAAUUAAAAUCACAAUGUGUUAUUAGUUCACACUCACUAUAGAAUGACUAAAAAUAAAAAGAUUGACAGUCCCAAGUGUUCAGGAGGGUGCAAAUCAAAUGGAACCUUUAUACACUAGCACUGGAAAUGGAACAACCAGUUUGGAGAAGUUUGACAAUUUCUUAAAAAUUAAAUACACAAUUGCCAUACCAGUCAGCAAUCUACCUGUAGGUAUUUACCAUACAAAUGAAGCAUAUGUCAUAUCAAUACAAAGACCUGUACACAAAUAUUCACAACAGCCUUAUUUAUAACAGCCCUAAACUGGAAACAACAGAAAUGAUCAUCAGCAGGUGAAUGAAUAAACAAAUUGUGGUAAAUCCAUAUAAUGGAAAAUGAACUACUCAAACAGUCAACAACAUAAAUGAAUCUCAAAAACACUAUCAAUGAAAGCCAGAUAUAAUAGAACAUAAUACUCUUUGAUACUGUGUAUAUGAAACUCUAGAAAGGACAAAUCUAUAAUGACAGAAAGAAGAUUAGGUUGGCAGGGGUCCUGGUAGAGGGAGGAGAUUCACUGCAAAGGGCCCUGUGGGAUAAUGCGAGUAUUUUAGAUAUUGAUUGUGGUGGUGGUUAGUAGGUGAAUAAAUUUGUCGAAACUCAUAAAAAGCACACACUUAAAAUGGGUGUAUUUUACUGUAUAAAAAUUAUACCUUUAGCUCGUUUUGACUUUAAAAAAGCCAAAGGAUAUUCAAAGAUCACCAGGCAUUUAAAAAAUUCAGCCACAGGAAAAACAAAAAAGUUAACCAAAAAAACUAAACACUGACAGAAACAGAGAUAAUGUGGAGGACUUUAAAAAAAUUCACAGUAAUUCAAAGAAAUAUUACAGAAAACCAGAGGAGGAUGCUUUAAAAACCAACAAGUGGAGAACAAAAAAUGAUGUUUUGAAGUUAAAAAUAUUAAUUACUGAGAGUAAAUUCAGUAGACAUUUGGAAAAUAAUAUAGAAGUUUCUUUAGAAUACAAAGCAAAAACCAGAGAAAAGAGAUGAAUUAGAAAAAAGAUUAAAAGAAGAGACACAGAGAUCCCAACUGCAAGAUCAAAUAUCUGACUAACAGAAGAACCUUGUAAAGAGAAUAGAACAAAUG